rnacentral:tRNA from 1 species
UCCUGGGUAACCCAGUUGGUAGAGCGCUCUACUGGAAAUCGAGAGGUCCCGGGUUUGAUACCCGGACCAGGCG